GCAGAUCACGGCACGCAUCCUGGAAGCCCACCAGAACGUCGCUCAGAUGAGUCUCAUCGAGGCGAAGAUGCGGUUUAUUCAAGCCUGGCAGUCGCUGCCGGAGUUCGGCAUCACGCAUUUCAUUGCAAGGUUCCAGGGAGGCAAGAAGGAGGAGCUGAUCGGCAUCGCCUACAACCGGCUGAUACGGAUGGACGCCAGCACGGGCGACGCCGUCAAAACCUGGCGGUUCACAGUGGAACGUGAACUGGGAGAUUAAAAUGGUGACGGUGGAGUUUGCAGAUGACGUUCGGGUGUCCUUCAUCUGCACGGAGGUGGAUUGCAAAGUGGUUCACGAGUUCAUCGGCGGCUACAUCUUCUUGUCGACGCGAGCGAAAGAUCAGAAUGAGAGUUUAGAUGAAGAGAUGUUCUACAAACUGACCAGUGGUUGGGUGUGAGUCCCAUGUACUGUACACCAAGAGGAAACCCCAUGGCCAUAUAAUAUUUAACUUUAAAAAGCUGUUCUUUGAAAUAUGCUGCUUAAUAAAGUAAGCUUGAAAUGUAUCUUUUUUUUUUUUAAAUGAAAAUUUUUGCAUUACCAGACCAGUUAAUCUGUGUGCACUAAUGAGCACUUCUGUUAAUUUGCUAUAACGAGACCGUAUCUGGGCCAGGUGAUCGUGCCGCUGGCCUUUGGAUACAGAAUCUGAUGGGCAGAUCGGGAUAAGAUUUGACUGACUUAAAAUAGCCGAUUUUCUAAGAGAACUCUAAGCCAUCUUCUUGUAAAGCCAUCCAGGGCUUAACCUAUAUGAAGUCUAUUUAUCAUGUUUAAUGCAUGAGUGUUUUCUUUUUUUUUUUUUUUCUU